rnacentral:misc_RNA from 1 species
AACACUGUUAACCUGCGGUACCUGCGGAGGGAUCAUAACUGGUUAAACUUUAUAAACACCAGAGUUUCAAACUCUGUGUUUGCAAACAAAAAACACCCUUCAAAACAGCUAUUCAGUGUCUGAAUUAACUAGUUUAAUAUAAAAACAACUUUCAACAAUGGAUCU